AAGGAUCAUUACAGUAUUCUUUUUGCCAGCGCUUAAUUGCGCGGCGAAAAAACCUUACACACAGUGUUUUUUGUUAUUACAAGAACUUUUGCUUUGGUCUGGACUAGAAAUAGUUUGGGCCAGAGGUUUACUGAACUAAACUUCAAUAUUUAUAUUGAAUUGUUAUUUAUUUAAUUGUCAAUUUGUUGAUUAAAUUCAAAAAAUCUUCAAAACUUUCAACAACGGAUCUCUUGGUUCUCGCAUCGAUGAAGAACGCAGCGAAAUGCGAUAAGUAAUAUGAAUUGCAGAUUUUCGUGAAUCAUCGAAUCUUUGAACGCACAUUGCGCCCUCUGGUAUUCCAGAGGGCAUGCCUGUUUGAGCGUCAUUUCUCUCUCAAACCUUCGGGUUUGGUAUUGAGUGAUACUCUUAGUUGAACUAGGCGUUUGCUUGAAAUGUAUUGGCAUGAGUGGUACUGGAUAGUGCUAUAUGACUUUCAAUGUAUUAGGUUUAUCCAACUCGUUGAAUAGUUUAAUGGUAUAUUUCUCGGUAUUCUAGGCUCGGCCUUACAAUAUAACAAACAAGUUUGACCUCAAAUCAGGUAGGAUUACCCGCUGAACUUAA
rnacentral:rRNA from 1 species